GAUGAAGAACGUAGUGAAAUGCGAUAAGUAAUGUGAAUUGCAGAAUUCAGUGAAUCAUCGAAUCUUUGAACGCACAUUGCGCCCGUCAGUAUUCUGGCGGGCAUGCCUGUUCGAGCGUCAUUACGCCCCUCAAGUCCCCUGUGGACUUGGUGUUGGGGAUCGGCGAGGCUGGUUUUCCAGCACAGCCGUCCCUUAAAUUAAUUGGCGGUCUCGCCGUGGCCCUCCUCUGCGCAGUAGUAAAACACUCGCAACAGGAGCCCGGCGCGGUCCACUGCCAUAAAACCCCCCAACUUUUUAUAGUUGACCUCGAAUCAGGUAGGACUACCCGCUGAACUUAAGCAUAUCAAUAAGCGGAGGA
rnacentral:misc_RNA from 1 species